AGAGUUUGAUCCUGGCUCAGAACGAACGUUGGCGGCGUGGAUUAGGCAUGCAAGUCGAACGCGAAUCCCUGGGCAACUGGGGAGGAGAGUGGCGAAAGGGGCAGUAAGGCGUGGGUAACCUACCCUCCGGGCCGGGAUAGCUUCGGGAAACUGAAGGUAAUACCGGGCGACGCAGCGAGAUCGCAUGGUCUUGCUGCCAAAGGUCCGCCGCCGGGGGAGGGGCUCACGUGGUAUUAGCUAGACGGCGGGGUAACGGCCCACCGUGGCAAAGAUGCCUAGCAGGUGUGAGAGCACGACCUGCGCCACUGGCACUGAGACACUGGCCAGACACCUACGGGUGGCUGCAGUCGAGGAUCUUCGGCAAUGGGCGCAAGCCUGACCGAGCGACGCCGCGUGUGCGAUGAAGGCCUUCGGGUUGUAAAGCACUGUCGAGGGGGAGGA
rnacentral:rRNA from 1 species